UUCAAGAUGGCGGACGUUUCAUGCAGAAAUUGUUGCUGGCAUUGAUAAGAAAUGUUUCCACUAAAUACGAAACAAUUUUCUGCUGCAUUCCUGGAUGUAAAGCGUAAUAGUCAAGGUUAUAACGAGGAGGUCAGUUCAGUCGACAGGGAUGCAACCAAGAAACUACUGCGGCCCUUCCAUAUUCCCCAAAUCGGGCCUUCUUCUAUUCCACAAUGUCAUCAUCUUGGGACCAUGAUGUGGAAUUUCAUGUGGAAUUGUGCGAGAAGAGAAUGUUAUCCACCCGCUCAUCAUUUGGAAUCAAGAGAAGACUCACGAAUGGAAUCGCGAAGAGCACCUGAACAAUCAUGUUCUUCAGUUCUUCCGGAAUUUGAAUUACAUCGCGUAACUUCAAAACAUAAAGCACGAGAAGCAAACGAGCGACAGAGUGCGGAAAAUAUUGAACUUUCAAGACUAAUUAAAACACAAUCUUUAAACAAGACCUCUUCUACAAGAAGUACUGAUUCUUCUCGAAACAAUGUUUGUUGUGUGGAAGCAGAACCACAAAACAGAGGUAUCCUCCAGCAAUCUAGCUGUGAAGAAGCAAAUGUUUCCAAUGAGACUUUUGUUAAUAGCAAAUUAAGUAAAUCGAUAAGAGCAUCCCACUGGGAUAGUGACAUGAAAUCUUCAGAGUCUGAACAUUGUAUUGUCUCAGAUUAUUUUGACAGAGAAUCAAAGUUAAGUCCAACUUGCAAUGUACUAAGUGAGUUGGAAACCAAGGUGGAUGUUAAUGGUAUAUAUGGCAGAGAAAGUUUGCAAAGCGAUUUGGUCUGUAAUGGUGAUUGGUGGCUAAACAGCGACAAUAUUUCAAACCUCAAGGAUUCGACUGCACCUCUCAUUCCUCAUGCAUAUAGCAUUGAGGAGGGUGAUUUUGUUGGCAAAAAGAAAUUUUUAGAGAGAUUGCUUGAGACAGAGCUGCAAAUAAAGCCUUUGACUCUGGUUAAGGAUGGCAUUUACAGCCAAAGGCCAGUUUCAAAUACUUUUACCCUAAAUCUGAACUUGGAGACAGUGAUGUCCGUUCUCUGCACUGAUGAGGAACAUUCAAAGAAUGCUGAACACAGUGAUAUUGAUCUAUGUGGGAAGAUUUCCAUUCUGUAUGGCAUCCAGGAUACAAUAGUGUCAGUGGUUGCUAGUGAGGUGGUAGGAAUGUAUGAUUAUAUCUCAGGAGCUGUGUAUGGAUUGAAGGGAUGCUGUCAUGAUGAAUCUGAAUAUCAGUUAAAGGACAAGAAGUACCCCCUUUCAUCAAGUGCAGUGAGUUUGGACCUUAAGGAAUUCAUAGUUCAUUUUCAACAAAAACUGAGAAUGUCAUCUCACAGUGUUGACAAUGACAAUGUGUUAAAGGAGCACUCUCCUGUUGCCUGGUUACUGAUCUCACCAGCUCUUGGAGUGACCCUUGACUGGCAAGUACAAGAGAAAGUCCUUGAAUCUAUAGAAACUUUGUCAUCAGAGGAAUUUGCUGAAGAGCAAGCAUCUGACAGUUACAACAAAGGAUGUUUUUCAAGCCAGUGGUACAAUCUGUUGGUAGUUGUCGACCAAUAUCGUUGUUGUGAGAAAGAUAUUCCACUGAUUGAGGUGGAAGGGAAGUGUUAUUUCAGGCAGGUCCUGAACAUCCUUGGCUGAUCAAGACAUAUUCAGAGGUAGUCCCACACCCCUGUGCACAAGCUCUGGGCCAAGAAUUCUUUCAGAGUGGAAUCAUACCUAGUGACACUGAUUUCAGGAUUUACAGGGACUUUGGCUAAGUACCAGGAAUGGACCUUGCCUAUAUUGCCAAUGGUUAUGUUUAUCACACAAAUUACGAUACACCAGCUGCUGUUACUCCAGGCUCUAUCCAGCGUGCUGGUGAUAACAUACUGGCUUUGGUCAAGAGCAUAGUUAAUUCACC